UACGAAGGGAGCUAGCGUUGUUCGGAAUUACUGGGCGUAAAGGGCGCGUAGGCGGCCUUGUAAGUCAGAUGUGAAAGCCCCGGGCUUAACCUGGGAACUGCAUUUGAUACUGCGAGGCUAGAGGAUGAGAGAGGAAAGUGGAAUUACGAGUGUAGAGGUGAAAUUCGUAGAUAUUCGUAAGAACACCAGUGGCGAAGGCGGCUUUCUGGCUCAUUACUGACGCUAAGGCGCGAAAGCGUGGGGAGCAAACAGG
rnacentral:rRNA from 1 species